AGUUAGCACCAAUAAUCAUAAAAUAUAUAAAGCAUUCCAUGGAUAAAUGGCAAACAGUGUUACAGCUCCAGACGAAAAAGGGACUCAUAAAAACCAAAGCCAUCUCCAUUAGAUGAAGAAUAUUCCAGGGAUUAUCGAAACAUAU